AUAGCCAUGCCCGAGUUUACACCGAUGACCACCGCCAUGUUUACAUCCGGAUCAACAACAACGGGAGGGGACGGGAUACGAUCUAGAGCGAGAGGCCGCCGGACUCCUCGUCCUCGUCGAGGUCCGAGGUGUAGACGGUGUAGAGCGACCAGAUGAGGCCGAAGACCCCCAGGAGGAUCCACCCCAGCAGGUUGUUGCUGAGCCCCAGGCUCAGCCCGGUGCCCUCCGUCGACAUCCUCUCGUCCACGAGCGCCAGCGCCGGCCCCGCCGACGCGGUCACCGCGCCCGCCGCCGCCAGCAGCGACGCGCCCGCGCCCUUGGCGCUCA
rnacentral:lncRNA from 1 species